rnacentral:snoRNA from 1 species
CCGGCGCAGAGGAUGAGUCACACUUGAGACCCGACCGCACUGCGGUGCACCUCCCUGGGGGUUCCAAACCAAACCAAAAACUUUGAUACUGAUGCGCCGG